rnacentral:lncRNA from 1 species
UCCUACCUUUUCAUAUACGAACAAACAUACCGUACUUUAUUCAACCUUAACAACUAACAAAUUCAAAUACAACACAUCAACUUUAGUAUUUAAUCUGAGUUGCUCUCCAAAUGAUUAUUAGUAAUUAAGUGAUUAGGGAGGAACCAAUUAGAAGGUCAAAUAACUAACUUCUAAUAACAUUUUGUAUGCAUCCAUAGUGUCUGCUUUCCUCUAUGGCCUCUCUUGUGAAUGGCUCAUGUUGAGGUUUAUUUCACAUUACGUUCAUUUCCCCGUGCUUCUCUUCUCAGUUAAGCGACAUAGAAGCAAGUGGCAACUGAUGACACAUGUAUAUGUUGUGUGUAACUAGACAUUUGAUCCUGUGUCACGAGAUGACUGAACAAAGACUUUCGUUGAUUCAGUUAAACAUUCCCAUGUUAGUAUGUUGCAAUAACCAUCAAAGUGAGAAGAAGACAAGACAAAGUGGGUCCUGAAUCUUGUACCAGGAGAAGAACAAUGUUACAUAUGUGACACUGUAAAUGCAUAAUCUGUCGUGAUUAAAAGGGAUGUAGAACAAGAAAUAGUUAAAAUUUUCAAGAGUAAUAAAUGAGCUUAUGUCUUCUUUUCAAAGUGAUUUUACAUUUGAAAACUGAGAAAGAUGAAACAAAAGGACUAGGAAACAAAAGACCUGAGCGCAGCACUCGCUGUUUUGAGAGGACAUUCCUCUUGAACCACCACCUCACACCGCAUAUUGUGUGCAGAGAACAUUUUUAUGGGGUUGCUUCAUACGUUUUGUUUACUUCUUUCGAAAGUCUGAUGUUAACAUAU